rnacentral:rRNA from 1 species
CAGUCGCCGCGGUAAUACGUAGGGUGCGAGCGUUAAUCGGAAUUACUGGGCGUAAAGCGCACGUAGGCGGCUAUUCAAGUCAGGGGUGAAAGCCCGGGGCUCAACCCCGGAACUGCCUUUGAAACUAGAUAGCUUGAAUCUUGGAGAGGCGAGUGGAAUUCCGAGGGUAGAGGUGAAAUUCGUAGAUAUUCGGAAGAACACCAGUGGCGAAGGCGACUCGCUGGACAAGUAUUGACGCUGAGGUGCGAAAGCGUGGGGAGCAAACAGGAUUAGAUACCCCGGUAGUCCCUGUCUCUUAUAC